rnacentral:rRNA from 1 species
GUGGGGAAUAUUCCGCAAUGGACGAAAGUCUGACGGAGCAACGCCGCGUGAGUGAUGAAGGUUUUCGGACUGUAAAGCUCUGUUGUUUAGGACGAAAGUGCCUGUUGCGAAUAGUUACAGGUAUUGACGGUACUGAACGAGGAAGCCACGGCUAACUACGUGCCAGCAGCCGCGGUAAUACGUAGGUGGCAAGCGUUGUCCGGAAUUAUUGGGCGUAAAGAGCAUGUAGGCGGGAAUCUAAGUCUGUUGUGAAAAUGCGGGGCUCAACCCCGUAUUGCGAUGGAAACUGGGUGUCUUGAGUGCAGGAGAGGAAAGGGGAAUUCCCAGUGUAGCGGUGAAAUGCGUAGAUAUUGGGAGGAACACCAGUGGCGAAGGCGCCUUUCUGGACUGUGUCUGACGCUGAGAUGCGAAAGCCAGGGUAGCGAACGGGAUUAGAAACCCGUGUAGUCC